ACGGCCUCCUGCUCGCGCAUGCUGCUCGGAUAAUUCGGUGCUUGCAUGCGGGAUGUGAGCACGCACCGCGUGCCUGUUUGUAGACACACCGUGACAACACCAAGGGAUUAAUGAUCGUACCGCUGUGUGCGGGGUUUGCGCUGGUGUUGCGUGCAACACGUGUGCACUGUUCGUUUAGAAGGGACCUAGCUAGACAUGAUUCGUUAAUUGACAGGUUAAAAGGCAUAGUUUAAAAUACGGUACGUAAUACUGUCGGGUUGUAUUCGAUGAAGCGUGUGUACGUGUGGAUGCGUGUCAGUGUGUAGUACUGGGAUGUGUGGAUGGAAGCUUCCUUUUUGGGAUGUUGUUAUUAUGGGCUACGGAUAAUGAAGCUGUUUUUUUAAUUAAACGUUUUAUUGAGAGAAAAAAUGAAUUGAAUUUUUGGAGAAUCACAAGAUGAUUUCAGCUACUGUGGAACGAUUGAUUAAGUGGAUAAUCUGUACUCGGUUUUCUUCCUUUCAUUUAUGCGUAUCAUAAGGAUGUGAAAAUAUAAUAAUAUUGGUAAUCAAUCGGUAAAUUCGUGUAAUGUUUGAACUUGUUCUAGAUGCUAGUUAAAAAUGUUGCUCGAAGGCGCCGUGGCUUAGUUGGUUAAAGCGCCUGUCUAGUAAACAGGAGAUCGGGGGUUCGAAUCCCCCCGGGGCCUAGCGGAUUUUUUUUGAAGUCAAAUUUGUAGCCGUUUCCGCUGACUUUCACACGAGCUACAGCAGGUGCAGAAGAAUAAGCAAUGCCUAACAAAUUCUGAGACUGUUGUUCCUGUUGCUGUUGUUGUUGCUGUUGUUGCUGUUGCUGCUGCUGCUCUUGUUGCUGCAAUUCUAUUUGUUCUGGGACCUACGGAUGAUUACUAUUAAACAGAAAUCACAUUUGAAUUUUAUACAAAUUUCAAUAAGUGAUUGUUUUUAGAUUAAAACUUUUACCUGCUGUGCUUGGGCAACUUGUACCUGUCCUUGCGACUGAGCUUGGGCUUGCCUUAAUGCGAGAAGUUGGGCCAACUGUGCCUGAUACAGAGCAGCCGCAGAGUAACCUUGUGGUUGUUGAGCUUGCUGUAGCUGCUGAUAGUAAGCUAAUGCAGCAGGGUCUACAGCAGCUUGGUAAGGCAACGGUGCGGGUGCAGAAGACACAAAUAAUACAACAAAUUCUCCGGGGAAGCGGUUACAAACCUAAGCCAGGAUUUCUAUAAGCAAGAGCACUCGCGAGGCUGGGCAACACUUUCUGUGCUAAAUAAGGAUUUCCAAUACUGGAGCUGAACGACUGAUGAGAACUGGGUCCAUUAAAUGCAAAGGCAGUUUGCGUUAAACCUGGCCUGAUGAAGCUGAAGGACGCAUGCUGGUCAGAACUGCCUAGCAAAUUGGUUGGUUUCACAUGGACAGGUGGUUCAGCGAACGAAACGGAGAGCACCAUACAACUGAGUACUAUGUAUUUCUGAAAGGAUAGAUUUCGUAGAAACUAUGACACUGACGAGUGGAGUAUGAGCAUGCCUCGACAAACCGUUACACCGUUCAAUAGACCUGAGAAUCUUGUCAAAGUACUUACCAUCAUUCUGCUAGCCUAUGAGGACUUGAAAAAUAUUUCACGCGAACAGACGACAGCGUUAUCAACCGAACAUCAACUAUUCUGACACUAAGUCACCCCGUGGGGAGUUAUAUAUCGCGGAAGCGGCCAGGCUGAUACGUGAGUAGCAUCGCAUCGACACAUUUUCAGAGAAAAUCUUUAUAAUACAACAUACUGUACACAGUUGUAUGAUUAUUUACAAGGAAUAUCAACUAUUUGAAAUUUGCCAUCGCCGUGUCUUUUUAAAACAUUGGUGUAUUAUACCCGAAACCUUGAGUGUUUUUCACAGAAAUAUAUAUGUGUGUGUAUGUACAAGAAUCGAAUGACUACAAUCAACAUAAAAAAGGUAGUGGUACAUUUAGUCUGAUUUAUCUAUGACCAUGACAUUGCCGAGGAAAGUUACUUUCAGCCACACGGUACUAAUACGCAGACAGGUUAUUAAUGGUAAUCAGUAAGUCGUUCGUGGAAUAUUAAAUAACUGGCAGUGAUACAAUUUAUUUAUGUCUCGCACAUACUCGGAAGCCAUACUUAAAUUCGACCAUAAAGCAUCCGUCAAUUUCUCCCUGUUCAUACUGUCAUCAUAUUAAUACGACGCGUUAAGUCUAUCUGUUCGUAUAAAUGUUGUACAUUACAUGGUAAAUUUAAACAUACGUUUCGACAUAGUGUAGCCGCAGCGAUUUUAUUAUUAUACGUAUUACAAAUUUUAAAAGUUAGUAGAAAUGGUUUCAUUGGACAGCCGAUAUUGUGCGUACCCUCCUGUAGGUACCUUUUUCAAAAAAUAUUCUGACAACGUUGAAAUCAAUAGACCAAUUACACAGAUUGACGUAGAUUUGUGCGAAAUGACGUGAAAUCGUCCCUUCCGUGAUGAACUUCUCACAUACUGGAAAAGUAUGACUGAUAGAACAUGCCCAUGGCGGUAGUCGCGAAUAACGUGAAACAACUCCACCAUGUUGCCAGACCCAAUAAACCUCUGUACACGUCAGUUGUAAAUAUCUGCAAGAUAACAAAUUGCUUUAUGUACUAAAAACUGUAUGUACCAUUAUUUAGGAAAUUACAAUUAAUAUUACCUGCUUCAAAGAACCCAACGCGAGCUGAAAGUCUUGGGCAGUUUGUGUUACAGAUUUUUCAAGAUCAUCGUUAACCAUUCCAUUCAACGCUGACUUCGGUGGCUCAUCUGCUGGGCACUCGUCUACAGCUACAUCUUUUAGAAUACCUUCCCACGUGUAACCACCUGUUAAAAGGACACCAAUGAGUGAAGAAGUAUCAUUCAGAAAUAAUUAUUUGGAAAUAGGUUUACCCAGUGUCUUGUACAUGAACGUGAAAAAUAAACAUAUGAUUAGCGGAACAAUAAAUUGCAACGCAACGACACACAAAUAGUAAAACACUGCCGCAAUCUGAAAGAAAUUGAAAGGAAAUUGUUAAUACAAUUGAUGACUAUAUUUUUGUACGGAAUUAUUUCAAAUGUUUCUCUUGCGAACACCUUUUUCUGCAAAUCGACAUUUUUUAUUCUACCGGCCUCCUUUUUCUGGCUCUCUAAUCGUUGCACGGCUAAAUUUAGGUAUGAUUGCAGAUACAUUGGCAUUAAUAUCAACUUUAACAAAAUCGCAACGAUGAUUGCAAUUAGCCUCAUGCUCUCGAAUGUUGAAGGUGUCAUUCUGUAAAGAUUUAUUUUGAAGAUGAUGAUCCUGUAUAUCGUUAAAGUAGUCUAUAAAUUUAAACUUACAUUGGACCAUUCAUACCAGUAAAUAUUCGGACUGUAAGAUAAUCCCUACUUAUAGGUUUAAUCCAUAAGCUUAUCAAUAAGAGUG